GAGCUCUCGAACAGUGUUUCUGUAUUCUUGUAAAUUAUCCGUCAGCUUAGAAAUUUGCUGCUCCAACUCCUCUGAGCGACUUUGUUGUACGUUUUUGGAAUUAAUGGCUUCGUGUAAUUCAUCUUCUACCAUUCUUAAACGACGCUGCAGGUAUUGGACAGCUGCACCUUGGAGAUCAUAAUUAUUGGAAAGUUCUACCUCAUCAGCUUCCUGUUGAGAAAAAAAGUUUUUCUUUAGUGAGCUUGAUGACAGUAAAUCGGUGGCAUUACUUGUUAAAGAGUGGAGUUUGGAAGGUGAUUGCAUGCUUUGCGACGAAGGAAAUGUACUAUCAGAUGAUUUGACAAAAGUAUCGUUCACCUGAGAAACAGAAGGCUGAGAAUCCCUUGGUUCUGCA